rnacentral:lncRNA from 1 species
GGGAGGCGGCGUUGGGCAGCAGAUAGGGUCACAGGGAGAGGAAGGGGGAACGGGUGAGAGUUAGCAGGAUGUUUUUGGCCGGUAGGGAGGAGGUUAACGGCCCAUUUCGGACCGGCACAUUAAAAUCAUGCCGGGCUGGGUCGCCCGUCAGGCCGAGGGGCAGGCCCACACCAGCACGAGCCAUCAGGCCAGGCUAGCCUCGAGCCGAAGAGUUACGAGCCGGGCCAGGAUAAAAAAUUGGGCUUCGUGUUGGGCUGCGGGCUGCAUGGACAUCUAUAGUAAAACUCCUAGAAUAUAUAUGAGAAGAAUGCACAGAUUGGCAGGUUCCACUGCAACUAACAUAUUCCCUCCAUCCUAUUAAUAAUAAUCUGAUCAUUUUUGGGGUGUUUGGAUACCCCUGCUAAACUUUAGCACCUGUCACAUCGGAUGUUU